GCUAAGAAUAUUCCGCAAUGGACGAAAGUCUGACGGAGCGACGCCGCGUGGAUGACGAAGGCCGAAAGGUUGUAAAGUCCUUUUGCUGGGGAAGAAUAACCAUGGGAGGUAAUGCCCGUGGGAUGACAUGAACCGGCGAAUAAGCCCCGGCUAACUACGUGCCAGCAGCCGCGGUAACACGUAGGGGGCGAGCGUUGUUCGGAAUUACUGGGCGUAAAGGGCACGUAGGCGGCCCUAUAAGCCUGGCGUGAAAGUCACCGGCUCAACCGGUGGAUUGCGCUGGGAACUGUGGGGCUCGAGUCAUGGAGAGGGAGCUAGAAUUCCUGGUGUAGGGGUGAAAUCUGUAGAGAUCAGGAAGAAUACCAGUGGCGAAGGCGAGCUCCUGGCCAAUGACUGACGCUGAGGUGCGAAAGUGUGGGGAUCAAACAGGAUUAGAAACCCGAGUAGUCC
rnacentral:rRNA from 1 species